rnacentral:tmRNA from 1 species
CCCCUUGAACCCGCCGGCGCCGGGCCUUAUCUUUUCCUCGUCCCGGCGACGGGACUAUGGCGAUAAACGCGCACGGAAUAAGCGGACCGGACCCGGGGGCGGUACCCGGCGGCUCCACCAGAAAUCCCGCGUUGGGGGAAGCAUGGGGCCGAAACAGGAUCGACGGACGUGUAAAGGUGUUGCUUUCGCCCGGUGAGGUACCACCGUUAUCGGUCCAAAGCACAUAGUUGCCAACGACAACCGUGCUCCGGUUGCGCUCGCUGCGUAAGUAGCGCGCAAGACCGAAAUCUGAAGUCCAGUCGUCAAGCAACGGCUGGCGGGGUCCGCAGGCACCUGGCAACAGAAGCCUGCACU